GACUCACGCACUCGUUCAAGCUUAAUAUAGAGUCAAAGAACAACUAUCAGCUUAAAUAAGAAAUACUUAGAAUAUACAUGUGACGCCCCUACUUCUCCCUAAGGCAAACCAAAGGGUAUCCGCAGGACGCCUGCUCAGUUCUCGCCAAGACUCGGUACAAUUUCCGUUCAACCUUAAUAUAAUAGUAUCUAAAACGAUAAGGCAAAGUAGAGGAGUGCGGAAACUUCUAUAAAUUAUCCAAUCUCACACCACAAGUUCACAAUACAUAAGUUAUCCAACCCUUACAGCAGGAUUUCCAAAGAUACAUUCAAUCCCAAAAUAUGCAACAGCUAAGAGUCUAGUCAAAUGUAUUUGGAACCUAAUACAAGAAUACUUUAAGAGGGGGUUCCUCCGAGUUCCACUUCAUCCAUCCCUGUUAAGGAAAACAAAUCUAUGGGGAGAGCAAAACACUCAUGAGGCCAAGAACACGCAUACAAGCACGUUGUUCAGAUAACAAUCCCAAUUUAACAAGUAAAGCAAUAAUAUUUCAAUGAAUAGCACUUUAACCGAGAAAAGUAAACAGAAACAAUUGAAGGAUACAGGAGCUCUCAGAAGCUAUUUUCCACUUGCACAAUCACGAACCUCCACGAGUUGAUACUCCAUCAACCGGGUAGGUUAUAGCCCGUAGAACUUCACUUACACGAUCCCCUUUCACCUUACAUGCCCCUGUAC
rnacentral:lncRNA from 1 species